rnacentral:rRNA from 1 species
AAGCGUAAUAGCUCACUGAUCGAGUCGUCCUGCGCGGAAGAUGUAACGGGGCUAAGCCAGUCACCGAAGCUGCGGAUAUCAAUUUAUUGAUAUGGUAGGAGAGCGUUCUGUAAGCCUGCGAAGGUGUCUUGUAAAGGAUGCUGGAGGUAUCAGAAGUGCGAAUGCUGACAUGAGUAGCGAUAAUGGGGGUGAAAAGCCUCCACGCCGUAAGCCCAAGGUUUCCUGUUCAACGUUCAUCGGAGCAGGGUGAGUCGGCCCCUAAGGCGAGGCAGAGAUGCGUAGCUGAUGGGAAGCAGGUUAAUAUUCCUGCACCGUCGUUAGAUNUGCGAUGGGGGGACGGAUCGCGGAAGGUUGUCCGGGUGUUGGAAGUCCCGGUUUCUGUAUCAGAGAAGGCUGUUAGGCAAAUCCGGCAGCGUAAUUCAAGGGUAUGGGACGAGUGAACUUGUUCACGAAGCAAUCGGAAGUGGUUCCAAGAAAAGCCUCUAAGCUUCAGUCUAACGAGACCGUACCGCAAACCGACACAGGUGGGCGAGAUGAGUAUUCUAAGGCGCUUGAGAGAACUCGGGAGAAGGAACUCGGCAAAUUUGUACCGUAACUUCGGGAUAAGGUACGCCCUAGUAAUUUGACAGGCCUGCGCUUGAAGGAUGAAAGGGUUGCAAUAAAAAGGUGGCUGCGACUGUUUAAUAAAAACACAGCACUCUGCAAACACGAAAGUGGACGUAUAGGGUGUGACGCCUGCCCGGUGCYGGAAGRUUAAWUGAUGGGGUUAGCUAACGCGAAGCUCUUGAUYGAAGYCCCRGUAAACGGCGGCCGUAACUAUAACGGUCCUAAGGUAGCGAAAUUCCUUGUCGGGUAAGUUCCGACCUGCACGAAUGGCGUAACGAUGGCCACACUGUCUCCUCCCGAGACUCAGCGAAGUUGAAAUGUUUGUGAUGAUGCAAUCUACCCGCGGCUAGACGGAAAGACCCCAUGAACCUUUACUGUAGCUUUGCAUUGGACUUUGAACCAAUCUGUGUAGGAUAGGUGGGAGGCUUUGAAGCGGGGACGCUAGUUCUCGUGGAGCCAUCCUUGAAAUACCACCCUGGUUUGUUUGAGGUUCUAACCUUGGUCCGUUAUCCGGAUCGGGGACAGUGCAUGGUAGGCAGUUUGACUGGGGCGGUCUCCUCCCAAAGUGUAACGGAGGAGUUCGAAGGUACGCUAGGUACGGUCGGACAUCGUGCUAAUAGUGCAAUGGCAUAAGCGUGCUUAACUGCGAGACUGACAAGUCGAGCAGGUACGAAAGUAGGACAUAGUGAUCCGGUGGUUCUGUAUGGAAGGGCCAUCGCUCAACGGAUAAAAGGUACUCUGGGGAUAACAGGCUGAUUCCUCCCAAGAGUUCAUAUCGACGGGGGAGUUUGGCACCUCGAUGUCGGCUCAUCACAUCCUGGGGCUGUAGCCGGUCCCAAGGGUAUGGCUGUUCGCCAUUUAAAGUGGUACGUGAGCUGGGUUUAAAACGUCGUGAGACAGUUUGGUCCCUAUCUGCCGUGGGCGUUGGAAGUUUGAAGGGGGCUGCUCCUAGUACGAGAGGACCGGAGUGGACGAACCUCUGGUGUAUCGGUUGUCACGCCAGUGGCAUUGCCGAGUAGCUAAGUUCGGAAGAGAUAACCGCUGAAAGCAUCUAAGCGGGAAACUCGCCUUAAGAUGAGACUUCCCGGGAACUAGAUUCCCCUAAAGGGUCGUUCGAGACCAGGACGUUGAUAGGUCAGGUGUGGAAGUGCAGUAAUGCAUUAAGCUAACUGAUACUAAUUGCCCGUGCGGCUUGUUC